GCUCGAGUUUAAAAACAAAACAGCACUGGGUAUGGACUUGUUUGUGCAGAAUUUUUCACCUCAGGAGAUGUUAAGAGAAAACUGAUUACACAAAUGAAAAAAAAAGCUUUUGGUGAGACAUUUUAAACGCGAUCCUUACCUUAUGGUCCACUAUAGAGCACACCAGGUCCUUGACAGCCGAAAGCGACAGGUCACUGGCCUCCAGGUUGACUGUCUCCCUUGUCAGUCCAAUCUGCAGCAGGAAGGACACCCCAUGGAAAGAGCUACGAGAAUUGGUGGGGCUCGGGGCAUCGUGGCUUCCGUUGGACAGCCGUGUGUAGAGCGGUCCAACCGGGGAAGGGGACAGAAUGGCUGGCAAGGUCGGAUGGUGCGGAUGGAGAGAGUGGAGGUAGGCUCGAGCUGACCCGCAGAAGGCCUCGUAGUCCACGAGCUGCGUUACACUGGGCUUCUCACCACACACUGCACAACCCGACUGCUUGGGACGCAACCGGAUGGAUCUGAAUCUGGCACUUUGAGCGUCAAAGAUUACCAGCCUGUGCAUCGGUUGGGGACAUCUCUGCGCUGCUGACCCGUCUCCGCUCGGGAUGGUUUCCUGUUGGCCCCGCUGUGGACUGGACUCCCGCUGAUGUGUUGGAUCCACUGUGGACUGGACUUUCACAAUGUUAUGUCAGACCCACUCGACAUCCGUUGCUUUCGGUCUCCCCUAGAGGGGGGGGGUUACCCACAUAUGCGGUCCUCUCCAAGGUUUCUCAUAGUCAUUCACCGACGUCCCA